rnacentral:rRNA from 1 species
CCUACGGGCGGCAGCAGUGGGGAAUAUUGCACAAUGGGGGGAACCCUGAUGCAGCGACGCCGCGUGAGUGAAGAAGGAUUUCGGUAUGUAAAGCUCUAUCAGCAGGGAAGAAGAUGACGGUACCUGACUAAGAAGCCCCGGCUAACUACGUGCCAGCAGCCGCGGUAAUACGUAGGGGGCAAGCGUUAUCCGGAUUUACUGGGUGUAAAGGGAGCGUAGACGGCGAUGCAAGGCAGAUGUGAAAGCCCGGGGCUCAAUCCCGGGACUGCAUUUGGAACUGGGUGGCUGGAGUGUCGGAGAGGCAGGCGGAAUUCCUAGUGUAGCGGUGAAAUGCGUAGAUAUGAGGAGGAACACCAGUGGCGAAGGCGGCCUGCUGGACGAGGACUGACGUUGAGGCUCGAAAGCGUGGGGAGCAAACAGGAUUAGAUACCCUUGUAGUC